rnacentral:misc_RNA from 1 species
CUUUUUGUGCAUAAUGUAUAUAUAGGGGGGUGGUAGUACUCUUGGGGUAGAGAGGCAUGUGCUGGGAAUGGCAUGCCAAGGCAUGUGCUGGGAUGGCAUGCCUUGGUGUGUGCUGGGAUGGCAUGCCUUGGUGUGCUGGGAUGGCAUGCCAAGGAGAAGCAUGUGCUAGGAAGGCAUGCCAAGGCCAAGCCAAGGCCAAGGCAAGCACAUGCAUUGUGAGCGAGAUGAGACGGUUGUCUUUACCCCAAGAGUGCCCAAGGGAGAGGAAAGAGGMGUCAAACGCAUGCUGAGCCCCACUUCGGUAGUUUGGCACCCCCAUAGGCAUUGAGGCAAGCGUGCCUAUGGGAAAGUCUGUUGAGCUUGUCAGCCAUGUUGGGUAUUAUUGUCUGGAGUUGAUGAUGGCACAAGGAUGCUGGCUUUAAGGUAACGUUCCGGCAGCACAGCCAGCCCGCAAUUGCUGGUUCAAGCGGGUGGAAUCUGCCUAUAGGGGCGUUGCUUGCUCGCGGUGGAAUUGGGCACGCCCAAUAUGUAUCAUCGACCGACGACGUAGUUCCUGCAUGGCCCCAUAGGUAUUCAGGCAAGCGUGCCUAUGGGAAAAGUCGGUUGAGCUUGUCAGCUAUGUUGGGUAUUAUUGUCUGGAGGAGAUGAUGGCACAAGGAUGCUGGCUUUAAGGUGACGUUCCGGCAGCACAGCCAGCCCGCAAUUGCUAGUUCAAGCGGGUGGAAUCUGCCUAUAGGGGCGUUGCUUGCUCGCGGUGGAAUUGGGCACGCCCAAUAUGUAUCAUCGACCGACGACGUAGUUCCUGCAUGGCCCCAUAGGUAUUCAGGCAAGCGUGCCUAUGGGUAAAGUCGCUUGAGCUUGUCAGCCAUGUUGRGUAUUAUUGUCUGGACGAGAUGAUGGCACAAGGAUGCUUGCUUUAAGGUAACGUUCCGGCAGCACAGCCAGCCCGCAAUUGCUAGUUCAAGCGGGUGGAAUCUGCCUAUAGGGGUGUUGCUUGCUUGCUGUGGAAUUGGGACACGCCCAAUAUCUAUCAUCGACCGACGUAGUUCCUGCAUGGCCCCAUAGGUAUUCAGGCAAGCGUGCCUAUGGGUAAAGUCGCUCGAGCUUGCCAACACCCAUGUUAGCUGUAGUCUGGACCGAUGAUGGCACAAGGAUGCUUGCUUUAAGGUAACAUUCCGGCAGCACAGCCAGCCCGCAAUUGCUAGUUCAAGCGGGUGGAAUCUGCCUAUAGGGGUGUUGCUUGCUUGCUGUGGAUUUGGGACACGCCCAAUAUCUAUCAUCGACCCAAUGAACUGCUCAACAUGGGUUGCUGAGGGCUAUUUUGGCACUGACGGUUCACUUGUUUGCUUGGCUCUGAUAAACGUUUAGAUGUCAUGAUGCUUGGGAUCCAAUAAAUUUAUGUGGGAAGCUGAGAGCUGGAACCCAAUGUCAUUCACCAGAUGGCUUAGCUUCGUCAGUGUGUAUAAUAUGUCAUUGAACCCCAAUCCUCGAUGCCAACCUGAUUAUGACUUUUGGAUUGCAAUUAUCAUGGCUAUCAAAAACUGAGUAGGAGUCAUGGAAUAAGUGAACAAUUUGUAGCUUUUAUAGCUGUCAGCUUUCGCAUCGCCCGGUGUGUUUUGGGAAUCGCUUUGUGCGUUUGGUUGCCUGCCGUGCCUCUUGGCAUACGGUGGGUGCCACUUGCCGGGUGGUUUUCGGAAACAUCCACCGUAAAGGUGCAUGAGUGGUGUUUGGUUUGUUACGGGUGGUUGGCUCUUUGCUUGCGCACCACCUGCCACCUGACUUACCUCUUCAGAUGUUUGCCUAGGCUUGUAUAGCCUAAGCAGAUUGUGGGUUUCCUGUGUUGCCUACCUACGUCACGGAAUUGUCCCGAUCGAUCAAAGUUGCUUUCGUCUUGUGUCGUCUUGAUGGCAUAAGAUGAACCCUGAAGCUGUCUCUUUGCACCGCAUCGUUAAUGCAUGCGUUGAUGUUGUGGCCCAUUGAGCAUUGCUUGGUACCUUGGAUACGGAACCUUAUGUGGGCAUGGGUCCUUAGGGAUCCUUGUUCUGCCCUUGUUUAGCGUUCGCGCUUCUCUUAGAAUGACUGCCUAGCCGGAAUGGGAAGCCAUUCUGGAUGGGCA